GGUGUAGAGCUCAGUAUCAGAGCACUUGCCUAGUAUGCAUGAGCAUGAGGCCCUGGGUUCAAUUCCCAGCACCA
rnacentral:tRNA from 1 species